GACGAACGCUGGCGGCGUGCUUAACACAUGCAAGUCGAACGAAGUGGCGAACGGGUGAGUAACGCGUAAUCAACCUGCCCUUCAGAGGGGGACAACAGUUGGAAACGACUGCUAAUACCGCAUACUGAAGGAGGGGAUUGCGUCUGAUUAGCUAGUCUGAGGGGUAACGGCCCACCAAGGCGAAGGUCAGUAGCCUGUCUGAGAGGAUGGACGGCCAAAGUGGGAAUGAGACACGGCCCAGACUCCUACGGGAGGCAGCAGUGGGGAAUCUUCCGCAAUGGACGAAAGUCCUACGGAGCAACGCCGCGUGAGUGAUGACGGCCCUCGGGUUGUAAAGCUCUGUUAAUCGGGACGCGGUACCGGAAUAGAAAGCCACGGCUAACUACGUGCCAGCCGCCGCGGUAAUUC
rnacentral:rRNA from 1 species